CCCUUAGAUGUUCUGGGCCGCACACGCGCUACACUGAAGGAGGCAGCGUGUACUCCUGGAUCGAAAGAUUUGGGUAACCCGCGAAUCUCCUUCGUGCUAGGGAUUGAGGUUUGCAAUUAUCCUUCAUGAACGAGGAAUUCCCAGUAAGUGCAAGUCAUAAGCUUGCGCUGACUACGUCCCUGCCCUUUGUACACACCGCCCGUCGCUACUACCGAUUGAAUGAUUUAGUGAGGACUUCGAACUGGGACCGAUGCGGCUUUCGGGCUGCGUCGGUAUUCUGGAAAGAUGUCCAAACUGUAUCAUUUAGAGGAAGUAAAAGUCGUANCA
rnacentral:rRNA from 1 species